UACAGAGGUCCCAAGCGUUUGUUCGGAUUCACUGGGCGUAAAGGGUGCGUAGGCGGUCGGGUAAGUCUGGCGUGAAAUCUCCAAGCCUAACUUGGAACUGCGUUGGAUACUAUCCGGCUCGAGGAAUGGAGGGGAGACUGGAAUACUUGGUGUAGCAGUGAAAUGCGUAGAUAUCAAGUGGAACACCAGUGGCGAAGGCGAGUCUCUGGACAUUUCCUGACGCUGAGGCACGAAAGCCAGGGGAGCAAACGGG
rnacentral:rRNA from 1 species